GAUGAACGCUGGCGGCGUGCCUAAUACAUGCAAGUCGAGCGAACGGACGAGAAGCUUGCUUCUCUGAUGUUAGCGGCGGACGGGUGAGUAACACGUGGAUAACCUACCUAUAAGACUGGGAUAACUUCGGGAAACCGGAGCUAAUACCGGAUGAUAUUUUGAACCGCAUGGUUCAAAAGUGAAAGACGGUCUUGCUGUCACUUAUAGAUGGAUCCGCGCUGCAUUAGCUAGUUGGUAAGGUAACGGCUUACCAAGGCAACGAUGCAUAGCCGACCUGAGAGGGUGAUCGGCCACACUGGAACUGAGACACGGUCCAGGCUCCUACGGGAGGCAGCAGUAGGGAAUCUUCCGCAAUGGGCGAAAGCCUGGCGGAGCAACGCCGCGUGAGUGAUGAAGGUCUUCGGAUCGUAAAACUCUGUUAUUAGGGAAGAACAUAUGUGUAAGUAACUGUGCACAUCUUGACGGUACCUAAUCAGAAAGCCACGGCUAACUACGUG
rnacentral:rRNA from 1 species